ACAAAACCCGCGCUGUGUAUGCAGCGCGGGUUUUUCUUAUGCGUUAUCCUGGAACUUUGGCGAUGGGGCCGGGAGGGCCAAGCGUAUCAUCGAUCUGUCGGUCGGUAUGGUAAGUGACGCAAGCUGAAAGAAGAGCGCUGAACAGCAGAAAAAAUACCGAUAGAAACAAUCUGCGUCCGAUGACCCCUAUCGAAUUUAAAAUAUCAAACAUUUGGAUUUAAUCCCUGAGUGAAGAUUGCAGUCGUAAAGUAAAAGGACAGUCCAGGCACUUGCGCUUUUUUGCCUGCAAAGAAUUCCGGUUUGCCGGUUUUCCCGGCGUCCAGUUUUGGGUAUGAGAGCGCAUCCCGAAAAGUGUGAAACGGUUUUCGGAUAAGAUGCGCGUCAAAAAAUAGUUGGAGCGCCGAUCUGAUUCAUU
rnacentral:ncRNA from 13 species